rnacentral:rRNA from 1 species
CCUACGGGAGUCAGCAGUGAGGAAUAUUGGUCAAUGGCCGUAAGGCUGAACCAGCCAAGUCGCGUGAAGGAAGAAGGAUCUAUGGUUUGUAAAAUUCUUUUAUAGGGGAAUAAAGGUAUCCACGUGUGGAUAUUUGCAUGUACCCUAUGAAUAAGCAUCGGCUAACUCCGUGCCAGCAGCCGCGGUAAUACGGAGGAUGCGAGCGUUAUCCGGAUUUAUUGGGUUUAAAGGGUGCGUAGGUUGUUUUUUAAGUCAGCGGUGAAAGUUUGUGGCUCAACCAUAAAAUUGCCGUUGAAACUGGAAGACUUGAGUGUGUUUUAGGUAGGCGGAAUGCGUGGUGUAGCGGUGAAAUGCAUAGAUAUCACGCAGAACUCCGAUUGCGAAGGCAGCUUACUAAGCCAUAACUGACACUGAAGCACGAAAGCGUGGGGAGCAAACAGGAUUAGAUACCCUAGUAGUC